AGCAGCAGCCGCGGUAAUACGUAGGUGGCAAGCGUUGUCCGGAAUUAUUGGGCGUAAAGGGCUCGCAGGCGGUUUCUUAAGUCUGAUGUGAAAGCCCCCGGCUCAACCGGGGAGGGUCAUUGGAAACUGGGAAACUUGAGUGCAGAAGAGGAGAGUGGAAUUCCACGUGUAGCGGUGAAAUGCGUAGAGAUGUGGAGGAACACCAGUGGCGAAGGCGACUCUCUGGCCUGUAACUGACGCUGAGGAGCGAAAGCGUGGGGAGCGAACAGGAUUAGAUACCCGGGUAGUCCCUGUCUCUUAUAC
rnacentral:rRNA from 1 species